UACGUAGGGUGCGAGCGUUAAUCGGAAUUACUGGGCGUAAAGCGUGCGCAGGCGGCUAUUUAAGCUUGCUGUGAAAGCCCCGGGCUUAACCUGGGAAUGGCAGUGAGGACUGGAUGGCUGGAGUGUGGCAGAGGGGGGUGGAAUUCCACGUGUAGCAGUGAAAUGCGUAGAGAUGUGGAGGAACACCGAUGGCGAAGGCAGCCCCCUGGGCUAGCACUGACGCUCAGGCACGAAAGCGUGGGGAGCAAACAGG
rnacentral:rRNA from 1 species